GACGAACGCUGGCGGCGUGCUUAACACAUGCAAGUCGAACGGAAAGGCCCUGCUUGCAGGGUGCUCGAGUGGCGAACGGGUGAGUAACACGUGGGUGAUCUGCCCCUUAUUUUGGGAUAAGCCUGGGAAACUGGGUCUAAUACUGGAUAGGACCAUGCUGUAGGUGGUGUGGUGGAAAGAUUAGUUUCGGUAAGGGAUGAGCUCGCGGCCUAUCAGCUUGUUGGUGGGGUAAUGGCCUACCAAGGCGUCGACGGGUAGCCGGCCUGAGAGGGUGGACGGCCACAUGGGGACUGAGAUACGGCCCAGACUACUACGGGAGGCAGCAGUGGGGAAUAGUGCACAAUGGGCGCAAGCCUGAUGCAGCGACGCCGCGUGGGGGAUGACGGCCUUCGGGUUGUAAACUCCUUUCAGCCAUGACGAAGCCCUUGUGGUGACGGUAGUGGUAGAAGAAGCACCGGCUAACUACGUG
rnacentral:rRNA from 1 species